rnacentral:rRNA from 1 species
UGGCCUACCAUGCAGUCGAACGGCAGCACAGAAGAGCUUGCUCUUUGGGUGGCGAGUGGCGGACGGGUGAGUUAUGUCUGGGAAUCUGCCCGAUGGAGGGGGAUAACUACUGGAAACGGUAGCUAAUACCGCAUAACGUCGCAAGACCAAAGGGGGGGACCUUCGGGCCUCACACCAUCGGAUGUGCCCAGAUGGGAUUAUCUAGUAGGUGGGGUAAUGGCUCACCUAGGCGACGAUCCCUAUCUGGUCUGAGAGGAUGACCAGCCACACUGGAACUGAGACACGGUCCACACUCCUACGGGAGGCAGCAGUGGGGAAUAUUGCACAGUGGGCGCAAGCCUGAUGCACCCAUGCCGCGUGUAUGAAAAAGGCCUUCGGGUUGUAAAGUACUUUCAGCGGGGAGGAAGGCGGUGAGGUUAAUAACCUCGCCGAUUGACGUUACCCGCAAAAAAAGCACCGGCUAACUCCGUGCCAGCACCCGCGGUAAUACGGAGGGUGCAAGCGUUAAUCGGAAUUACUGGGCGUAAAGCGCACGCAGGCGGUCUGUUAAGUCAUAUGUGAAAUCCCCGGGCUUAACCUGGGAACUGCUUUUGAAACUGGCAGGCUUGAGUCUCGUAGAGGGGGGUAGAAUUCCAGGUGUAGCGGUGAAAUGCGUAGAGAUCUGGAAGAAUACCGGUGGCGAACGCGGCCCCCUGGACGAACACUGACGCUCAUGUGCGAAAGCGUGGAGAGCACACAGGAUUAACCCGGUUUUUUUCCCAAAA